rnacentral:rRNA from 1 species
GUUAUAUGGUCAAGCGAAUAAGCGCACACGGUGGAUGCCUUGGCGGUCAGAGGCGAUGAAGGACGUGGCAGCCUGCGAAAAGUAUCGGGGAGCUGGCAACAAGCUUUGAUCCGGUAAUGUCCGAAUGGGGAAACCCACCCGCUUGCGGGUAUCCUGCAGUGAAUACAUAGCUGCUGGAAGCGAACCUGGUGAACUGAAAUAUCUAAGUAACCAGAGGAAAAGAAAUCAACCGAGAUUCCGUAAGUAGCGACGAGCGAACGCGGACUAGCCCUUAAGCUGAUUUGGUUCUAGGAAAAUGCUCUGGAAAGAGCAGCCAUAGAAGGUGAUAGCCCUGUAUCUGAAAGGGCCAUUUCAGUGAAGACGAGUAGGGCGGGGCACGUGAAACCCUGUCUGAACAUGGGGGGACCAUCCUCCAAGGCUAAAUACUACUGACCGACCGAUAGUGAACCAGUACCGUGAGGGAAAGGCGAAAAGAACCCCGGAGAGGGGAGUGAAAUAGAACCUGAAACCGUGUGCGUACAAGCAGUAGGAGCUCCGCAAGGAGUGACUGCGUACCUUUUGUAUAAUGGGUCAGCGACUUACUGUUCGUGGCAAGCUUAACCGUAUAGGGGAGGCGAAGGGAAACCGAGUCUGAUAAGGGCGCAUAGUCGCGGGCAGUAGACCCGAAACCGGGUGAUCUAGUCAUGCCCAGGGUGAAGGUGCGGUAACACGCACUGGAGGCCCGAACCCACUCCCGUUGCAAAGGUAGGGGAUGAGGUGUGAUUAGGAGUGAAAAGCUAAUCGAACCCGGAGAUAGCUGGUUCUCCUCGAAAGCUAUUUAGGUAGCGCCUCAUAUGUAUCCUCUCGGGGGUAGAGCACUGUUAUGGCUAGGGGGUCAUCGCGACUUACCAAACCAUUGCAAACUCCGAAUACCGAGACGGACUGUAUGGGAGACACACGGCGGGUGCUAACGUCCGUCGUGAAAAGGGAAACAACCCAGACCCACAGCUAAGGUCCCAAAUUCACUGCUAAGUGGAAAACCAUGUGGAAAGGCACAGACAGCCAGGAGGUUGGCUUAGAAGCAGCCACCCUUUAAAGAAAGCGUAAUAGCUCACUGGUCGAGUCGGUCUGCGGGGAAGAUUUAACGGGGCUAAGCAGUGAACCGAAGCUUGGGGUGCAUAACUUUGUUAUGCGCGGUAGAGGAGCGUUCCGUAAGCCGUUGAAGGUGGAUUGAGAAGUCUGCUGGAGGUAUCGGAAGUGCGAAUGCUGACAUGAGUAACGAUAAUGCGGGUGAAAAACCCGCACGCCGAAAGCCCAAGGUUUCCUUGCGCAACGUUAAUCGGCGCAGGGUGAGUCGGCCCCUAAGGCGAGGACGAAAGUCGUAGUCGAUGGGAAGCAGGUUAAUAUUCCUGCACCUCGCGUAAGUGCGAUGGAGGGACGGAGAAGGUUAGGUGUACCAGGCGUUGGUUGUCCUGGGGAAAGGCGGUAGGUUUGGAUCUUUGGCAAAUCCGGGAUCCUUUAAGACCGAGCACCGAGACGAGCCUUUAUGGCGAAGUCACUGAUACCACGCUUCCAGGAAAAGCUCCUAAGCUUCAGCUUACGCAGACCGUACCGUAAACCGACACAGGUGGGUAGGAUGAGAAUUCUCAGGCGCUUGAGAGAACUCGGGUGAAGGAACUAGGCAACAUGGCACCGUAACUUCGGGAGAAGGUGCACCCUUUUUGGUGGCUCGUGCGAGCUAUAGCUGAAGAGGGUCGCAGUAACCAGGCCGCUGCGACUGUUUAUCAAAAACACAGCACUCUGCAAACACGAAAGUGGACGUAUAGGGUGUGACGCCUGCCCGGUGCUGGAAGGUUAAUUGAUGGGGUCAGCCGCAAGGCGAAGCUCUUGAUCGAAGCCCCAGUAAACGGCGGCCGUAACUAUAACGGUCCUAAGGUAGCGAAAUUCCUUGUCGGGUAAGUUCCGACCUGCACGAAUGGCGUAACGACAGCGGCGCUGUCUCCACCCGAGACUCAGUGAAAUUGAAAUCGCUGUGAAGAUGCAGCGUUCCCGUGGCAAGACGGAAAGACCCCGUGAACCUUUACUAUAGCUUUACACUGAACGUUGAGUUCGUCUGUGUAGGAUAGGUGGGAGGCUAUGAAACUGUGGCGCUAGCUGCAGUGGAGCCAUCCUUGAAAUACCACCCUGUCGUGCUUGACGUUCUAACCUGGGCCCAUUAUCUGGGUCGGGGACCGUGUAUGGUGGGUAGUUUGACUGGGGCGGUCUCCUCCUAAAGAGUAACGGAGGAGCUCGAAGGUACGCUCAGCGCGGUCGGACAUCGCGCACUGUGUGCAAAGGCAUAAGCGUGCUUGACUGCAAGAUCGACGGAUCAAGCAGGUAGGAAACUAGGACUUAGUGAUCCGGUGGUUCUGUAUGGAAGGGCCAUCGCUCAACGGAUAAAAGGUACUCCGGGGAUAACAGGCUGAUACCGCCCAAGAGUUCAUAUCGACGGCGGUGUUUGGCACCUCGAUGUCGGCUCAUCACAUCCUGGGGCUGUAGUCGGUCCCAAGGGUAUGGCUGUUCGCCAUUUAAAGUGGUACGCGAGCUGGGUUCAGAACGUCGUGAGACAGUUCGGUCCCUAUCUGCCAUGGGCGUUGGAGAUUUGAGAGGGGCUGCUCCUAGUACGAGAGGACCGGAGUGGACGAACCUCUGGUGUUCCGGUUGUCACGCCAGUGGCAUUGCCGGGUAGCUAUGUUCGGAAGCGAUAACCGCUGAAAGCAUCUAAGCGGGAAGCGCGCCUCAAGAUGAGAUCUCCCGGGGCACAAGCCCCCUGAAGGAACCAUGUAGACUACGUGGUUGAUAGGUCAGGUGUGUAAGUACAGCAAUGUAUUGAGCUAACUGAUACUAAUGAUCCGUGCGGCUUGACCAUAUAACCU